rnacentral:lncRNA from 1 species
CUUUUCUAUGAUCCGAAUCAUGUUGUACAUGAGCAGGCUCCUUCACUUAGAAGAUUUAAUAGUAUGUAAAUGUAUUCAUUUCCUCUGCAUUGACACGAUCAAUACUACUAUCGGAGUGAAACAAGGGAUCUAAAGAAGAAGAGAGGCUAGACUAUAUUAGUAACAAGCAAACCUUGUAUGUGUAUCUCCAAGCAUUUUGGAGAUAAAUACCAAUUAGAAGGUCUGAGACGACCCAGAAAGCACUUGAUCAUAUAAUG